GRGUGGCGCUGCUAUACAUGCAGUCGAACGAGCUUCCGUUGAAUGACGUGCUUGCACUGAUUUCAACAAUGAAGCGAGUGGCGAACUGGUGAGUAACACGUGGGAAAUCUGCCCAGAAGCAGGGGAUAACACUUGGAAACAGGUGCUAAUACCGUAUAACAACAAAAUCCGCAUGGAUUUUGUUUGAAAGGUGGCUUCGGCUAUCACUUCUGGAUGAUCCCGCGGCGUAUUAGUUAGUUGGUGAGGUAAAGGCCCACCAAGACGAUGAUACGUAGCCGACCUGAGAGGGUAAUCGGCCACAUUGGGACUGAGACACGGCCCAAACUCCUACGGGAGGCAGCAGUAGGGAAUCUUCCACAAUGGACGAAAGUCUGAUGGAGCAAUGCCGCGUGAGUGAAGAAGGGUUUCGGCUCGUAAAACUCUGUUGUUAAAGAAGAACACCUUUGAGAGUAACUGUUCAAGGGUUGACGGUAUUUAACCAGAAAGCCACGGCUAACUACGUGCCAGCAGCCGCGGUAAUACGUAGGUGGCAAGCGUUGUCCGGAUUUAUUGGGCGUAAAGCGAGCGCAGGCGGUUUUUUAAGUCUGAUGUGAAAGCCUUCGGCUUAACCGGAGAAGUGCAUCGGAAACUGGGAGACUUGAGUGCAGAAGAGGACAGUGGAACUCCAUGUGUAGCGGUGGAAUGCGUAGAUAUAUGGAAGAACACCAGUGGCGAAGGCGGCUGUCUAGUCUGUAACUGACGCUGAGGCUCGAAAGCAUGGGUAGCGAACAGGAUUAGAUACCCUGGUAGUCCAUGCCGUAAACGAUGAGUGCUAAGUGUUGGAGGGUUUCCGCCCUUCAGUGCUGCAGCUAACGCAUUAAGCACUCCGCCUGGGGAGUACGACCGCAAGGUUGAAACUCAAGGAAUUGACGGGGGCCCGCACAAGCGGUGGAGCAUGUGGUUUAAUUCGAAGCUACGCGAAGAACCUUACCAGGUCUUGACAUCUUCUGCCAAUCUUAGAGAUAGACGUUCCCUUCGGGGACAGAAUGACAGGUGGUGCAUGGUUGUCGUCAGCUCGUGUCGUGAGAUGUUGGGUUAAGUCCCGCAACGAGCGCACCUUAUUAUCAGUGCAGCAUUCAGUUGGGCACUCUGUGAGACUGCGUGACAACCGGAGAUGUGGAUGACGUCAAUCAUCAUGCCCUAUGAACUGGGCUACACACGUGCUACAUGAACGUUACACCGAGUCGCAAGUCAUGAGUCUUAAGCUAUCUCUCCUUCAAGCGU
rnacentral:rRNA from 1 species